GCUUCACUCCUUGAGGAUUUUAGGGAGUUUGAUCGAACUAGAUUAGACUUGGAAGGUGGUGUAGGCUCUACAGAGCAAGCUCUUCUUAAAGAGCAUGCAUCCAUUAGCCGAAGUACAGGACAGAUGGAUAAUGUGAUUUCACAAGCUCAAGCAACUCUUGGUGCACUUGUUCUUCAACGAUCUACUUUUGGGGGAAUCAAUUCAAAGCUCAGCAAUGUUAGCAGCCGCCUUCCAACGGUAAAUCACAUCCUUGCUGGAAUAAAGAGGAAAAAGUCAAUGGAUAC
rnacentral:misc_RNA from 1 species